UACGUAGGGUGCGAGCGUUGUCCGGAAUUACUGGGCGUAAAGGGCUCGUAGGCGGCCAACUAAGUCAGACGUGAAAUCCCUCAGCUUAACUGGGGAACUGCGUCUGAUACUGGAUGGCUUGGAUUCGGGAGAGGAAUGCGGAAUUCCAGGUGUAGCGGUGAAAUGCGUAGAUAUCUGGAGGAACACCGGUGGCGAAGGCGGCAUUCUGGACCGACAUUGACGCUGAGGUGCGAAAGCGUGGGGAGCAAACAGG
rnacentral:rRNA from 1 species